UACGGAGGAUGCAAGCGUUAUCCGGAUUUAUUGGGUUUAAAGGGUGCGUAGGCGGAUAUGUAAGUCAGCGGUGAAACUCACAGGCUCAACCUGUGCCGUGCCGUUGAAACUGUGUAUCUGGAAUGCGGAUGCUGUGGGAGGAAUGUGUAGUGUAGCGGUGAAAUGCAUAGAUAUUACACAGAACACCGAUUGCGAAGGCAUCUCACAAAGCCGUUAUUGACGCUGAGGCACGAAAGUGUGGGGAGUCAAACA
rnacentral:rRNA from 1 species